rnacentral:rRNA from 1 species
GACGAACGCUGGCGGCGUGCCUAAUACAUGCAAGUUGAGCGAUGAAGAUUGGUGCUUGCCCCAAUUUGAAGAGCAGCGAACGGGUGAGUAACGCGUGGGGAAUCUGCCUUUGAGCGGGGGACAACAUUUGGAAACGAAUGCUAAUACCGCAUAACAACUUUAAACAUAAGUUUUAAGUUUGAAAGAUGCAAUUGCAUCACUCAAAGAUGAUCCCGCGUUGUAUUAGCUAGUUGGUGAGGUAAAGGCUCACCAAGGCGAUGAUACAUAGCCGACCUGAGAGGGUGAUCGGCCACAUUGGGACUGAGGCACGGCCCAAACCCCUACGGGAGGCAGCAGUAGGGAAUCUUCGGCAAUGGACGAAAGUCUGACCGAGCAACGCCGCGUGAGUGAAGAAGGUUUUCGGAUCGUAAAACUCUGUUGGUAGAGAAGAACGUUGGUGAGAGUGGAAAGCUCAUCAAGUGACGGUAACUACCCAGAAAGGGACGGCUAACUACGUG